UACAGAGGUCUCGAGCGUUAGUCGGAUUCAUUGGGCUUAAAGCGUGCGUGAGGCGGAUGUGCAGGCGUCGUGUGAAAGCCCCUCGGGCUCAACCGGGGAAUUGCACGGCGAACCGCAUGUCUUGAGACAAGUGAGGGGCGGCCGGAAACGAUAGGUGGAGUGGUGAAAUGCGUUGAUAUCUAUCGGAACGCCAAAGGUGAAGACAGGCCGCUGGGCUUGUUCUGACGCUGGAGGCACGAAAGCGUGGGUAGCAAACAGG
rnacentral:rRNA from 1 species